CUACGGGCCGCUGCAGUCGGGAAUAUUGCGCAAUGGAGGAAACUCUGACGCAGUGACGCCGCGUAUAGGAAGAAGGUUUUCGGAUUGUAAACUAUUGUCGUUAGGGAAGAUAAAAGACAGUACCUAAGGAGGAAGCUCCGGCUAACUACGUGCCAGCAGCCGCGGUAAUACGUAGGGAGCAAGCGUUAUCCGGAUUUAUUGGGUGUAAAGGGUGCGUAGACGGGAAGACAAGUUAGUUGUGAAAUCCCUCGGCUCAACUGAGGAACUGCAACUAAAACUAUUUUUCUUGAGUGUUGGAGAGGAAAGUGGAAUUCCUAGUGUAGCGGUGAAAUGCGUAGAUAUUAGGAGGAACACCGGUGGCGAAGGCGACUUUCUGGACAAUAACUGACGUUGAGGCACGAAAGUGUGGGGAGCAAACAGGAUUAGAUACCCGCGUAGUC
rnacentral:rRNA from 1 species